CCGAACACCGUAAGGAUUGACAGAUUGAGAGCUCUUUCUUGAUUCGGUGGUUGGUGGUGCAUGGCCGUUCUUAGUUGGUGGAGCGAUUUGUCUGGUUUAUUCCGAUAACGAACGAGACUCUGGCCUACUAAAUAGAGACGGGAUUAUUACUGUCCCGGAUUCUUCUUAGAGGGACAAGUGGUUUUCAGCCACACGAAAUUGAGCAAUAACAGGUCUGUGAUGCCCUUAGAUGUCCGGGGCUGCACGCGCGCUACACUGAAGGAAUCAGCGUGCUAAAACCAUUGUCGAAAGGCAUUGGUAAACCCAUCAAAAUCCUACGUGAUUGGGAUCGGGAAUUGCAAUUAUUUCCCUUGAACGAGGAAUUCCCAGUAAGUGUGGGUCAUAAGCUCGCGUUGAUUACGUCCCUGCCCUUUGUACACACCGCCCGUCGCUGCCCGGGACUGAGCCGUUUCGAGAAAAGCGGGGACCGCCGCUUUCGGGGCUUUCGGGCCUUGGCUGUGGUGGAAACCGCUUUAAUCGCAGUGGCUUGAAACCGGGCAAAAGUCGUAACAAGGUUUUCCGUAGGUGNAACCUGCGGGAAGGGAUCAUUAUCCGAGNCAAAAA
rnacentral:rRNA from 1 species